GGGAGGAGCCCUGUCUCUCCCCACCCCACUCCCCGACUCCCACACACACCCCUGCACACUCGGAGGCAAGGCCACCUGAGACUAAGUGGUUGUCUUCAAGCUAGGAAAACAAUCCUCAGAAGAAACAGCACACUGCCAGGCCUUGAUCUGGGACUUCAAGCCUCCAGAACUGUUCACCUCAUUCUUUCUGUUUUCCCACACCAUUUGGCUAAGAAGACGCUGGGUCGCUGAGCCUACAGCUCCCACGGUCUGCUGACUACAGAGCCGGCCCCUGAAUCUCCUGUUCCCGUGGUUAGAUCUAGGGGCUUGAUGGGAAACAUAUGGCCCAGGCACCAUCCGAGCUGCCGAAGAAGAAUCCAAGACACCUGCACACCCCUGCUUCCCCCAGAUUUUCCAGGGCCCUGCUUCUCUGAUCCUCCCACCUCCCUGACCUCAGCCCGUAC
ensembl:lncRNA